CGGGAGGCAGCAGUGGGGAAUCUUGGGCAAUGGGCGGAAGCCUGACCCAGCGACGCCGCGUGGGGGAGGAAGGCCUUCGGGUUGUAAACCCCGUUAGUGUGGGAAGAAGGGAUGACGGUACCACACGAA
rnacentral:rRNA from 1 species